AUUGAACGCUGGCGGCAGGCCUAACACAUGCAAGUCGAACGAGUGGCGGACGGGUGAGUAAUGUCUGGGAAACUGCCUGAUCGAGGGGGAUAAAUACUGGAAACGGUAGCUAAUACCGCAUACCAUCAGAUGUGCCCAGAUGGGAUUAGCUAGUUGGGGGGGUAACGGCUAACCAAGGCGACGAUCCCGAGCUGGUCUGAGAGGAUGACCAGCCACAUUGGAACUGAGACACGGUCCAGCCGCCUACGGGAGGCAGCAUGGGGGAAUAUUGCACAAGGGGCGCAAGCCUGAUGCAGCCAUGCCGCGUGUAUGAAGAAGGCCUUCGGGUUGUAAAGUACUUUCAGCGGGGAGGCGUUACCCGCAGAAGAAGCACCGGCUAACUCCGUGCCAGCAGCCGCGGUAAUAC
rnacentral:rRNA from 1 species